rnacentral:misc_RNA from 1 species
AAACUGAACCCCAAAUCCGCUACGGCACAUAAUCUAUGAUAUGGUGAUUCACUGUUUCCCCAAGAUUUUCGAAGCAUUUUAAUCAUAUAACAAUCAAAUCGACAAAAAGUAAACCAUCAAUAGUUUCAAUAAUCAAAUUAGGACGUUUAGUAAAAAAUUUCCCGCUCUUUUCUCGCAUUUGCUUAUCAGCCAAGCGGACAAACAUCAAUUUCAGUAUUCGGAGAAAGAAAUUUCGAAGAACAGUGAAAUUCUAGAGUUAAGGAAAAGUGCGAGAGAU